CCUACGGGUGGCAGCAGUAGGGAAUAUUGCUCAAUGGGGGAAACCCUGAAGCAGCAACGCCGCGUGGAGGAUGAAGGUUUUAGGAUUGUAAACUCCUUUUGUGAGAGAAGAUAAUGACGGUAUCUCACGAAUAAGCACCGGCUAACUCCGUGCCAGCAGCCGCGGUAAUACGGAGGGUGCAAGCGUUACUCGGAAUCACUGGGCGUAAAGAGUGCGCAGGCGGGUUUGUAAGUCAGAUGUGAAAUCCUGUAGCUUAACUACAGAACUGCAUUUGAUACUAGGAGUCUAGAGUGUGAGAGAGGUAGGUGGAAUGCGUGGUGUAGCGGUAAAAUGCGUAGAUAUCGAGAAGAACACUCAUGGCGAAGGCGGCAUACUGGAACAAUACUGACGCUGAGGCACGAAAGCGUGGGGAGCAAACAGGAUUAGAUACCCGAGUAGUC
rnacentral:rRNA from 1 species